CUUUGGAAACGGGGGUUUAACCCCCAAAAAAAAAAAAACCCCCUUGGUUUUUUAUUAAAAGGUGUUUUGCCUAACAAUUUGGGGGAGGCCCCGGGGGUUUUUAGGGGGGGGUGGAAGGAAAAGGCCUCCCCCAGGCCAUUUUUACGUCCCCCAAAUGGGGGGGUUUUUUCGCCCCCUUGGGGAUUGGGCCCCGGCCCAAAUUUCUUGGGGGGGGCAGCGGUGGGGAUUUUUCCCCCAAGGGAAGAAAUUUUGAAGGAACAACCCCCGCUUGAAUGAAAAAGGUUUUCGGAUCGAAAAAUUCUGUUGUUAAAGAAGAACGUUUUUGAGAGUAACUGUUCAGGCAGUGACGGUAUCUAACCAGAAAGCCACGGCUAACUACGUGCCAGCAGCCGCGGUAAUACGUAGGUGGCAAGCGUUGUCCGGAUUUAUUGGGCGUAAAGGGAACGCAGGCGGUUUUUUAAGUCUGAUGUGAAAGCCUUCGGCUUAACCGAAGUCAUGCAUUGGAAACUGAAAGACUUGAGUGCAGAAGAGGAGAGUGGAACUCCAUGUGUAGCGGUGAAAUGCGUAGAUAUAUGGAAGAACACCAGUGGCGAAAGCGGCUCUCUGGUCUGUAACUGACGCUGAGGUUCGAAAGUGUGGGUAGCAAACAGGAUUAGAUACCCUGGUAGUCCACACCGUAAACGAUGAAUGCUAAGUGUUGGAGGGUUUCCGCCCUUCGGUGCUGCAGCUAACGCAUUAAGCAUUCCGCCUGGGGAGUACGACCGCAAGGUUGAAACUCAAAGGAAUUGACGGGGGCCCGCACAAGCGGUGGAGCAUGUGGUUUAAUUCGAAGCAACGCGAAGAACCUUACCAGGUCUUGACAUCUUCUGACAGCCUAAGAGAUUAGGUGUUCCCUUCGGGGACAGAAUGACAGGUGGUGCAUGGUUGUCGUCAGCUCGUGUCGUGAGAUGUUGGGUUAAGUCCCGCAACGAGCGCAACCCUUAUUAUUAGUUGCCAGCAUUAAGUUGGGCACUCUAGUGAGACUGCCGGUGACAAACCGGAGGAAGGUGGGGAUGACGUCAAAUCAUCAUGCCCCUUAUGACCUGGGCUACACACGUGCUACAAUGGACGGUACAACGAGUCGCGAAACCGCGAGGUUUAGCUAAUCUCUUAAAGCCGUUCUCAGUUCGGAUUGUAGGCUGCAACUCGCCUACAUGAAGUCGGAAUCGCUAGUAAUCGCGGAUCAGCAUGCCGCGGUGAAUACGUUCCCGGGCCUUGUACACACCGCCCGUCACACCAUGAGAGUUUGUAACACCCAAAGCCGGUGAGGUAACCUUUAUGAGGCCAGCCGUCUAAGUGAACAGAUGUGGA
rnacentral:rRNA from 1 species